UGGGGAAUAUUGGACAAUGGGCGAAAGCCUGAUCCAGCCAUGCCGCGUGUGUGAAGAAGGUCUUCGGAUUGUAAAGCACUUUAAGUUGGGAGGAAGGGCAGUAAGCGAAUACCUUGCUGUUUUGACGUUACCGACAGAAUAAGCACCGGCUAACUCUGUGCCAGCAGCCGCGGUAAUACAGAGGGUGCAAGCGUUAAUCGGAAUUACUGGGCGUAAAGCGCGCGUAGGUGGUUCGUUAAGUUGAAUGUGAAAGCCCCGGGCUCAACCUGGGAACUGCAUCCAAAACUGGCGAGCUAGAGUAGGGCAGAGGGUGGUGGCAUUUCCUGUGUAGCGGUGAAAUGCGUAGAUAUAGGAAGGAACACCAGUGGCGAAGGCGACCACCUGGGCUCAUACUGACACUGAGGUGCGAAAGCGUGGGGAGCAAACAGG
rnacentral:rRNA from 1 species